rnacentral:lncRNA from 14 species
GAAUGAUGUGAAGUAGUUACUAGGAAAAUUCCUGUUAGGAAGAGACUUGCAGUGACUCAAGAUCUUUUGUGAAAUGAGGAACUGAAGGACGAGGCAUACCUCAUCUGCCCUAAAAACUGAUGAC